rnacentral:rRNA from 1 species
UAGUACGGCGAGUGAAGCGGCAACAGCUCAAAUUUGAAAUCUGGCUCUUUCAGAGUCCGAGUUGUAAUUUGCAGAGGGCGCUUUGGCUUUGGCAGCGGUCCAAGUUCCUUGGAACAGGACGUCACAGAGGGUGAGAAUCCCGUACGUGGUCGCUAGCUAUUGCCGUGUAAAGCCCCUUCGACGAGUCGAGUUGUUUGGGAAUGCAGCUCUAAAUGGGAGGUAAAUUUCUUCUAAAGCUAAAUAUUGGCCAGAGACCGAUAGCGCACAAGUAGAGUGAUCGAAAGAUGAAAAGCACUUUGGAAAGAGAGUCAAACAGCACGUGAAAUUGUUGAAAGGGAAGCGCUUGCAGCCAGACUUGCUUGCAGUUGCUCAUCCGGGCUUUUGCCCGGUGCACUCUUCUGCAGGCAGGCCAGCAUCAGUUUGGGCGGUGGGAUAAAGGUCUCUGUCACGUACCUCUCUUCGGGGAGGCCUUAUAGGGGAGGCGACAUACCACCAGCCUGGACUGAGGUCCGCGCAUCUGCUAGGAUGCUGGCGUAAUGGCUGUAAGCGGCCCGUCUUGA